rnacentral:lncRNA from 1 species
UCCGUAAGCACGUUUUUUCAUUGUUGCAUAAACAAUAAAUAUCAAGAAUACUUUUUUGGUGAUUGUCGAAGAGAUUUGUUGGAUUGAAAAUAUAUCUAAUGGGAAUUUUGUUUAAAAAGAUGAAUCUUAUGAUUGUAGAUCACUAGGAAGCAACGAAAAAAAGGCGUGAAAUGGAAGAGCGAAGGAAAGAAGUGAGCCGUCCUCAAUCACAAAGAGAAAGGAUUAACGUCGCAAUCUCACAAUACCUUGUAUAAUAUUUAAUUAUCCCGGUUAGAAGCGGAAUAUGCUAUGAGUUCUACCUGUUAAAAUCAUAUAAAUACGCCGACAACAUAGAAAUUCUUAACAGAUGUAAUAAAGACAUCAACGAAUAUAAAGCUUACGUUGGAGUUAUUUAUAUUUGCUUUUGCUUUUUCUCCAAUUAUUUGUUGGCACGAUUCAACAAAUGUUAAACCUGCGGAUCCUUACAAAGCUCUUAUACAGUCCAAUGGACGAUACUGUGCCAUGAGCGAUGAUGAUAGGGCCGAUGUUAAUUUUUGCUUGUUGGAAAACAGAAAUUUUCUUUUGUUGGAAUUCUACAAAAACUGUAUUCAGCAACUGAAAUUCUUUCAAACUAUGGCAGAAAUCAACAAUUUCAUUUGUCAAUCCAGACAAACAGCGCCACGAGUAUAUGCAAAAUUUAUUAAAUGUUUUGCUCCAGCUAAAUAUAUUUUAAGUUUUGACGACCCGAAAUUGUAUCCU